GCACCGGUCGUGCAUGGAGCACUCACCACCCUGGUGGACGGUAGAUGUAAUUGGACCUGGUGAACGGGGUUCGAUUCCCCGCCGGUGCA